ACCCUGGACGGGGGAUAACUCAGCUUGUCCGUCGAUGAAAAGCGCGGCCAGUCGUAAGAACUGAUGCGAAUUGCAGGACUCAAUGAACAUCGACACCUCGAAAGCACAUUACAGCCUUGAGAUCC